ACUAAUGAAUCAGUAAACUCAAAAGUCAUGUGACCCAUUUGACCCAAUUAAGAAUUCGUUUCUCGGAAUUCAAGGCGAACGAUCCAUUAAAGUUAAUGAGUAAGAAUUACGUAUUGCGGUAUAAGGUACCGAAGAGGACAACGAGAUGGAUUAGUGUGAGGACGUAUCACUUAAAGCAAGGUUACUCAGUUUAAUAAGUGAGCUUCACUAGUUAAUUAUGUACUAAAACUCUAGCUUUAAAUUCUAAGAAUUAUUAUGGUUUGUAU